GCGGCGUGCCUAAUACAUGCAAGUCGAGCGAAGUUUUUCUGGUGCUUGCACUAGAAAAACUUAGCGGCGAACGGGUGAGUAACACGUAAAGAACCUGCCUCAUAGACUGGGACAACUAUUGGAAACGAUAGCUAAUACCGGAUAACAGCAUUAACUGCAUGGUUGAUGUUUAAAAGUUGGUUUUGCUAACACUAUGAGAUGGCUUUGCGGUGCAUUAGCUAGUUGGUGGGGUAAAGGCCUACCACGGCGACGAUGCAUAGCCGACCUGAGAGGGUGAUCGGCCACACUGGGACUGAGACACGGCCCAGACUCCUACGGGAGGCAGCAGUAGGGAAUCUUCCGCAAUGGGCGAAAGCCUGACGGAGCAACGCCGCGUGAGUGAAGAAGGAUUUCGGUUCGUAAAGCUCUGUUGUUAGGGAAGAAUGAUUGUGUAGUAACC
rnacentral:rRNA from 1 species